rnacentral:rRNA from 1 species
AUUGAACGCUGGCGGCAUGCUUUACACAUGCAAGUCGAACGGUAGACCCUUUCGGGGGUUGAGAGUGGCGAACGGGUGAGUAAUGCAUCGGAACGUGCCCAGUCGUGGGGGAUAACGCAGCGAAAGUUGUGCUAAUACCGCAUACGACCUGAGGGUGAAAGCGGGGGACCGGUAACGGCCUCGCGCGAUUGGAGCGGCCGAUGUCUGAUUAGCUAGUUGGUGGGGUAAAGGCUCACCAAGGCGACGAUCAGUAGCGGGUCUGAGAGGAUGAUCCGCCACACUGGGACUGAGACACGGCCCAGACUCCUACGGGAGGCAGCAGUGGGGAAUUUUGGACAAUGGGGGAAACCCUGAUCCAGCCAUGCCGCGUGCGGGAAGAAGGCCUUCGGGUUGUAAACCGCUUUCGGACAGAAAGAAAUCGCAUGGAUUAAUACUCUGUGUGGAUGACGGUACUGUAAGAAGAAGCACCGGCUAACUACGUG